AACGCGAAGAACCUUACCAAGGUUUGACAUACAGGGAAAAGCCGUAGAGAUAUGGUGUCCGCAAGGGUCCUGUACAGGUGGUGCAUGGCUGUCGUCAGCUCGUGUCGUGAGAUGUUGGGUUAAGUCCCGCAACGAGCGCAACCCUCGUCCUAUGUUGCCAGCGGGUAAUGCCGGGGACUCAUAGGAGACUGCCGGGGUCAACUCGGAGGAAGGUGGGGAUGACGUCAAGUCAUCAUGCCCCUUAUGUCUUGGGCUGCAAACAUGCUACAAUGGCCGGUACAAAGGGCUGCGAAACCGCGAGGUUAAGCGAAUCCCAAAAAGCCGGUCUCAGUUCGGAUUGGGGUCUGCAACUCGACCCCAUGAAGUCGGAGUCGCUAGUAAUCGCAGAUCAGCAACGCUGCGGUGAAUACGUUCCCGGGCCUUGUACACACCGACUGUAC
rnacentral:rRNA from 1 species